CAAUAGGUGCGUUACAAUGUGGACAUGGCUUACUGUUCUGUCCAAUCCAUGUUUCAGCUUGAAUAUCAUUCACCAUGGAUUUUAAUUGUUUCUUCCCGUAACGCUUUUCCAUACUCUCUCUAGUUGAGUCAUCUCCAUUGAUAACCAACCUGAAGUCAUUUUACAUGGAGCAACACCAUGAUAAGUUGCCUUACACAUCAGACAAAAAUGGAAAUUGCAAUAUGGACAAGAAACAAGAUUGCUCUCUGGCUCAUAAGAAACUGGAUAUUGGCCUAUAUUAAGCAAUUUGAGCAUUCUGUUAUAUUUCUUAAAAACAUGUCUCUUAAUAAAAAAAUUAUAAUUUAGUUGCUCGAAACUUACAUUGAGGUCGCGGACAAUACGUAAUAUUAGUCAUUGAAGCUAUGGUAGAUUGAAGGAGUAAUGUAUCAUAACGCGCAAACGUAUCAGCACUGACCAAUUCUUUCACCUAAUUGAAAAUGUAACUGAAGUAAAAUAGAGAAGAAAAUAAAAGAAUAAAUAAAAGAAAAAAAUAUAUACUUGUCCAGGGGAAGCUUGGGAUGCACACUUAUCUUCCGGGCAAUGUAAUCCGUUAACUGCACCUUCCGCAAUUUUAAUUUCGAAAUAGCUCCUCAUGCAUUCUUUGCAGUACACAUGGUUGCAGCUUGGAAACCGAAUACAAGUAACACCCAACUUAUCACCAAAACAAACUUUGCAAAAGAUCUCCAUCACAUUGGUUAUCUGAAACAGCUCUAGAAUCUAGUUUGAUGAUAGGUCGAUGUACACUGGCAGCAACAGGGGAGUGUUGGC